rnacentral:rRNA from 1 species
GACGAACGCUGGCGGCGUGCUUAACACAUGCAAGUCGAACGGUAAGGCCCUUCGGGGUACACGAGUGGCGAACGGGUGAGUAACACGUGGGUGAUCUGCCCUGCACUUCGGGAUAAGCCUGGGAAACUGGGUCUAAUACCGGAUAGGACCACUGCCUGCAUGGGUGGUGGUGGAAAGCCUUUGCGGUGUGGGGUGGGCCCGCGGCCUAUCAGCUUGUUGGUGGGGUGAUGGCCUACCAAGGCGACGACGGGUAGCCGGCCUGGGAGGGUGACCGGCCACACUGGGACUGAGAUACGGACCAGACUCCUACGGGAGGCAGCAGUGGGGAAUAUUCCACAAUGGGCGCAAGCCUGAUGCAGCGACGCCGCGUGAGGGAUGACGGCCUUCGGGUUGUAAACCUCUUUCAGCACCGACGAAGCGUAAGUGACGGUAGGUGCAGAAGAAGGACCGGCCAACUACGUGCCAGCAGCCGCGGUAACAC